rnacentral:sRNA from 1 species
AGCUUUCCGUGUCUACAGGGAGUGUUGCAACGGUUUCAUUAGUCUGUAGACGGCAGACUAUCCUCUUCCCGGUCCCCUAUGCCGGGUUUUUUU